rnacentral:lncRNA from 1 species
GCAUUUGAUAGACUUCAAUAUUGGCUGUACUAGAGAAUUUAAAACCUUUUUGGAAAAUGAAAAACGAAACCUUCAGGGUUUCCAUUAGGAUGGAACGGAAAAUAUGGUGCUGUACAAUGUGACGGUCGGGAGUAGGCUACAGUACUAUGAGAAACCACGGGUUUGGAGCGAGUAGUCGUGCUGCACUUCGCUCCGCAGACUCAUCCUGCUGCUGAUGACGACGAUGACCUUGACACCAGCGUCAGUAGUACAGAGCCUGUAGACCCAUUGGAUGAAUGCUUUCAGACUGGAAUAAGCUCAAGCUCAACAUCAUCUGACUUUGAAACAAGCCAGGACAGCCAAAGGAGACUUGCAGUACAAAUCAAAGCAUUGGGAAGUGAAGAAAGUGUACGAGAGGCUUGUCCACCUGGCUGUGGAGUGCAGAAAGGACCAGACGGUUGUCUACAAGGAGCCUGAGUCACAGCUCCCCAAACCCAACAUCCCUUCCAACAUCGCCACAGCACCAAAGCCUGCGAAAACAGCUUCCAUUACGCAGCACAAGAAGAGGUUCACCAGUUGAAGAACAUUCUGGAACCUGCUUGGAACAUUCAACCAACACAACACCUUAUUCAGUUAAACUCUUGUUGUAGUAUAAUAUUGUAUGUUCAUUACUGCAUUGUGCUAUAUAUAUAUAGCUGUUGUACAUAUGUAUAUAAUGGUGUCGUAUGUGAUAUUUUGUACAAGUGUACUGACAAGUGACUAAAUGGAAUUCCAGCUGUAUCAGAAACCAAUAAAGUGUUGGAUCAAUUCAUUGUGAUCCCUUACGAAAAAAGAUUGCAGUCAGAAUGCAGUAUAACUGUGGUACACUGCAGUAUAACUGUAGUUAGA